rnacentral:lncRNA from 1 species
UUUUCUAUGGACAGCGGAGUGUGAUGGUUUCCAGAUGAUUCAAGCACAUUACAUUUAUUAUGCACUUUAUUUCUGUUCUUAUUACAUUGUGAUAUGUAAUGAAAUAAUUAUAUAACUCAUCAUAAUAUAGAAUCAGUGGGAGCCCUGAGCUUGUUUUCCUGCAGCUAGACGGUCCCAUCUGGGAGUGAUGAGAGACAGUGACAGAUCAACAGUCAUUAGUUAGAUUCUUAGAAGGAGUAUGCAAGCUAGAUGCCUCGCACACACAGUUCACAACAGGGUUUUCGCUCCUAUGAGAAUCUAACCCCGCCCCUGAUCUGACAGGAGGCGGAGCUUGGGCAGUAAUACAAGCGAUGGGGAGUGGCUGUAAAUGCCAAAAAGUUGUGCUCACACGCUUGCCGCUUACCUCUUUCUGUGUACUGGUAACUAACAGGCCACAGACCAAUACCGGUCUGUGGCCCGGGGCUGGGGACUCCUAAUACAGAGCACAUAAUAUGUAACAAUGUCCUAGUUGUUAAGUUGGGUGGUAGUCUCACAAGUGUUUGUUUUAUUAUGUGUCAUAGCCAAUAUGUAGUUUAAAAUAUCACUUCCUGUUAUCUAAUAUUCCAUCUGAUAGUUUCAAUAGUAACAGUGGCCAUUUCAAGGUAGUAAGAUUUAGGCAUGAUUUCCUUCUCCCAUAUAAGUUUCUGAAUGUUCUAAGUUCUUUUCAAACAAUAACAGAUUAUUUCUAGAAUCAGAAAACAUAAACUUUGUAAAAUAUAUGAGAAAAAUGUAUAUUGGCAAAUUAAAAAUGGAAAUGUGAAGACCUUUCCCAUUUAAGGAGAAGAAGAGUCAUGGAUGAUUUUUCUACUGAUGUGUUUAGAGACCUGAAGAUCCUCUGUAGUUUUGGCUUUCGAAUCUCUCCACCUGCUGUGUUUCAUGUACUUGGAGCACUUUUCUCAUUUCCAGUCUCAGACUGGAAGGAAGUUACCGUUGAACUACACCCCAGUGAAUACCUCAAUUCUCUGGGAAAUUGAAUUUUUACCUGGAUGGAGAGAGGCGGUCCAUGGAGACUGAUAAUGCAUGGCCCCAACCCUGUGCCCUAGCC